CAUGCAAGUCGUGCGACAGACCAGGAAUUGAUUACUUCGGUUUGAUUUUCCUGACGAUGAGCGGCGAACGGGUGCGUAACACGUGAGAAACUUGCCUUGAAGUUCGGGAUAGCUCGGCGAAAGUCGAAUUAAUACCGGAUGUGGCCUGGGGAUAGCAUUUUCCCUUGGUUAAAGCUCGGUCACAGAGCGCUUCUAGAUAGUCUCGCGGUCUAUCAGCUUGUUGGUGAGGUAACGGCUCACCAAGGCUACGACGGAUAACUGAUCUGAGAGGAUGAUCAGUCACACUGGAACUGAGACACGGUCCAGACACCUACGGGUGGCAGCAGUCGAGAAUCAUUCACAAUGGGCGCAAGCCUGAUGGUGCGACGCCGCGUGGGGGAUGAAGGGCUUCGGUCUGUAAACCCCUGUCAUCUGUGAGUAAGGCCUCGUAUAAAAGCUACGAGGAUUGAUAUUAGCAGAAGAGGAAGGGACGGCUAACUCUGUGCCAGCAGCCGCGGUAAUACAGAGGUCCCAAGCGUUGUUCGGAUUUACUGGGCGUAAAGGGUGCGUAGGCGGUUAGAAAAGUUUGGUGUGAAAUCUUCGGGCUCAACCCGGAAACUG
rnacentral:rRNA from 1 species